UUCACAUCAUAGCGGAGGAAAGAAACCAACAGGGAUUGCCUCAGUAACGGCGAGUGAAGCGGCAACAGCUCAAAUUUGAAAUCUGGCCUCCUUGGGGGUCCGAGUUGUAAUUUGUAGAGGAUGCUUCGGCGUGGGCCCCGGUCUAAGUUCCUUGGAACAGGACGUCACAGAGGGUGAGAAUCCCGUACGUGGCCGUGGGUGCUCGCCAUGUGAAGCUCCUUCGACGAGUCGAGUUGUUUGGGAAUGCAGCUCUAAAUGGGAGGUAUAUUUCUUCUAAAGCUAAAUAUUGGCCAGAGACCGAUAGCGCACAAGUAGAGUGAUCGAAAGAUGAAAAGCACUUUGGAAAGAGAGUCAAAAAGUACGUGAAAUUGUUGAAAGGGAAGCGCUUGCAACCAGACCUGUCUGCAGUUGCUCAUCCGGGCUUCUGCCCGGUGCACUCUUCUGCAGUCAGGCCAGCAUCAGUUCUGGCGGUCGGAUAAAGGCGGUGGGAAUGUGGCUCCUCUCGGGGAGUGUUAUAGCCCAUCGUGCAAUGCGGCCAGCUGGGACUGAGGUCCGCGCUUCGGCUAGGAUGCUGGCGUAAUGGUUGUAAGCGGCCCGUCUUGAAACACGGACCAAGGAGUCUAACAUCUGUGCGAGUGUUUGGGUGUCAAGCCCAGGCGCGUAAUGAAAGUGAACGGAGGCGGGAACCUUCGGGUGCACCGUCGACCGAUCCUGAUGUCUUCGGAUGGAUUUGAGUAAGAGCAUAGCUGUUGGGACCCGAAAGAUGGUGAACUAUGCCUGAAUAGGGUGAAGCCAGAGGAAACUCUGGUGGAGGCUCGCAGCGGUUCUGACGUGCAAAUCGAUCGUCAAAUUUGG
rnacentral:rRNA from 1 species